rnacentral:rRNA from 1 species
AACGAUGAACCGCUUUCGGGCGUGGAUUAGUGGCGAACGGGUGAGUAACACGUGGGCAAUCUGCCCUGCACUCUGGGACAAGCCCUGGAAACGGGGUCUAAUACCGGAUAUCACUGUCUGCCGCAUGGUGGAUGGUGUAAAGCUCCGGCGGUGCAGGAUGAGCCCGCGGCCUAUCAGCUUGUUGGUGAGGUAGUGGCUCACCAAGGCGACGACGGGUAGCCGGCCUGAGAGGGCGACCGGCCACACUGGGACUGAGACACGGCCCAGACUCCUACGGGAGGCAGCAGUGGGGAAUAUUGCACAAUGGGCGAAAGCCUGAUGCAGCGACGCCGCGUGAGGGAUGACGGCCUUCGGGUUGUAAACCUCUUUCAGCAGGAAGAAGCAAA